rnacentral:rRNA from 1 species
AGUGAACGCUGGCGGUAGGCCUAACACAUGCAAGUCGAACGGCAGCACAGUAAGAGCUUGCUCUUACGGGUGGCGAGUGGCGGACGGGGGAGGAAUACAUCGGGAUCUACUUUUUCGUGGGGGAUAAAGUAGGGAAACUUACGCUAAUACCGCAUACGACCUACGGGUGAAAGCAGGGGAUCUUCGGACCUUGCGCGAUUGAAUGAGCCGAUGUCGGAUUAGCUAGUUGGCGGGGUAAAGGCCCACCAAGGCGACGAUCCGUAGCUGGUCUGAGGGGAUGUACAGGCACACUGGGAGUGAGACACGGUCCUGGCUCCUACGGGCGGCACCAGUGGGGACUGGUGGAAGAUGGGCGGAAGACUGAACCAUCCAUACCGGGUGGGUGAAGCAAGCCUUCGGGUUGUAUAACCCUUUUGUUGGGGAAGAAAAGCAGCAGGAUAAUACCCGGCUGUUCUGACGGUACCCGAAGAAUAAGCACCGGCUAACUUCGUG